rnacentral:rRNA from 1 species
AGUGAACGCUGGCGGUAGGCCUAACACAUGCAAGUCGAACGGCAGCACAGGAGAGCUUGCUCUCUGGGUGGCGAGUGGCGGACGGGUGAGGAAUACAUCGGAAUCUACCUUUUCGUGGGGGAUAACGUAGGGAAACUUACGCUAAUACCGCAUACGACCUACGGGUGAAAGUGGGGGACCGCAAGGCCUCACGCGAUUAGAUGAGCCGAUGUCCGAUUAGCUAGUUGGCGGGGUAAUGGCCCACCAAGGCGACGAUCGGUAGCUGGUUUGAGAGGAUGAUCAGCCACACUGGAACUGAGACACGGUCCAGACUCCUACGGGAGGCAGCAGUGGGGAAUAUUGGACAAUGGGCGCAAGCCUGAUCCAGCCAUACCGCGUGGGUGAAGAAGGCCUUCGGGUUGUAAAGCCCUUUUGUUGGGAAAGAAACCCUAUCGGUUAAUAACCGGUGGGGAUGACGGUACCCAAAGAAUAAGCACCGGCUAACUUCGUGCCAGCCGCCGCCAUAAAAC